rnacentral:rRNA from 1 species
GGGAUCAGCAGGUUGGUCGUGCCACUGGUAUGUACUAGCUUGCUGAUUCCUCCUUCUUGUAGAACCGUAAUGCCAUUAAUUUGGUGUUGCGGGGAAACAGGACUGUUACUUUGAAAAAAUUAGAGUGUUUAAAGCAGGCUAGCGCCUGAAUACAUUAGCAUGGAAUAAUGAAAUAGGACGUUCGAACCUAUUUUGUUGGUUUCUAGGAUUGACGUA